UCAGAUUUCUUCAUCUUCAAUUCAUCCACAACCGAGAAUCCAAACAUGGCCGGCCAACGCAACGACUACGGCAAGAGAUCGUCGAAUUCCCACUCAGACUACGGCGGAGGAAAGCGUCACAACCCCUCCGGCGACGACUCCGGCGACCUCCCGCACGGGAUUGGCAACGACGACACCGUCUACCGCUACCUCUCCCCCGUCUACCGCUACCUCUGCCCCGUGAGAAAAAUCGGGAGCAUAAUCGGCAGGGGUGGAGAGAUCGCGAAGCAGCUGCGGGCCGAGAGCAAGUCGAGCAUCCGCAUCAGCGAGUCAAUCCCAGGGUUUGACGAGCGGAUUGUGACUGUUUACAGCACCAGCGAGGAGACGAAUUCUUUCGGCGGCGGAGGGGAAGAAGGGGAGGAGGAGGACGGUAGUGGUGGUGGUGGUGAUUUGGUGUGUCCGGCUCAGCACGCGCUUUUUCUUGUUCACGAUCGGGUUGUGGCAGAGGAGCGUGGAAGGGAGGAGGAAGAUGUGGAGGAUGAUGAUGAGGAUGAGACUGGGGAAGUUCAA
rnacentral:lncRNA from 1 species